rnacentral:rRNA from 1 species
GGACUCAGGGGGAAGUAUGCUCGCAAGAGUGAAACUUAAAGGAAUUGACGGAAGGGCACCACCAGGUGUGGAGCCUGCGGCUUAAUUUGACUCAACACGGGGAAACUUACCAGGGCCAGACAUAGCCAGGAUUGACAGAUUGAAGUUCUUUCUUGAUUCUAUGCAUGGUGGUGCAUGGCCGUUCUUAGUUGGUGGAGUGAUUUGUCUGGUUAAUUCCGAUAACGAACGAGACCUCAGCCAUCUAAAUAGCCGUCGCUAGUCUAGCGCUCGCAAGAGUUCGGCUUCUUAGAGGGACCGCCCGCGGGAGCGGGAGGAAGUUUGAGGCGAUAACAGGUCAGUGAUGCCCUUAGAUGCUCUGGGCUGCACGCGCGCUACAAUGACGCACUCAGCGAGGGCCCGGCUUGGCAAGGCCGGGGAACCUGCAACGUGCGUCUUGGUUGGGAUAGAUGAUUGCAAUUCUUCAUCUUGAACAAGGAAUAUCUAGUAAACGCGAGUCAUCAACUCGCAUUGAAUACGUCCCUGCCCUUUGUACACACCGCCCGUCGCUUCUACCGAUUGAAUAAUCCGGUGAAUUGGGUGGAUAGGCGCGGCCGCUUCGGCAGGACGCGCCUAGAAGCUCUGUGAACCUUAUUAUUUAGAGGAAGGACAAGUCGUAACAA